UUGAUGGCACUGGAGGCUGACAUCCUGUAUGUACAGGAAACAUGGCUGUGCAAGCUUCCCCUACACUGCCCUCUCAAUGUUCUUCAGUCUUGUUCUAGAGCAAACACUUCUAUAGGUGAGGGGAUAUAGUGCAGUGUUCAGGGACCAUGGAUUCCACAGCCUGU
rnacentral:sRNA from 1 species